rnacentral:misc_RNA from 1 species
CUGAGUUACCGCUCUACAACCCUUUGUGAACAUACCUAACUGUUGCUUCGGCGGGCAGAGGUCCCUCGCGGAUCUCUCCCGGCCCCGUCUCACGACGGAGCGCCCGCCGGAGGAUACCAAACUCUAAUUUAACGACGUUUCUUCUGAGUGGCACAAGCAAAUAAUUA